UUGGCACCAGCCAAUUCAUUUACUCCAGCUGUCGAGAGGAACACAGUUGCUAGGCAACCCAAGUCUGCCUCUCUUCGUGCCUACAUCAGGCUAUGAAAUUGAGAGUUGUUGAGGCUGUUGUCCUAGUGCAGUCAACUUAAAGCUGAAAUGCCUCCAGGUCGUAGACUCUGGAAAUGGCUCAUGCAGGAAAUGAGAGCAAAUUGGUUUUGAGCCACGUUGGUAAACCUAGGACAUGCGUACUGGAGGGGGAUGCUCCCAUUUUCCUUUCCAAGUGUGCCUGAGGAUAUUUCUUUCAUUACCUCCCCCUCUGUCCAGCAUCUCAAUGGGAAUUCUUAUUCCCUCUGCUGUCUGAGGUAUGUCCUGGGGCUCACGUGUGGUGUGAGGGUUGCAGUUUGGGUACUCGAUCUCUAAAUGGUUCACCAUCACUGUUCUAGCUCAAUCUCUACUAAUUCUUCUUCUAUUUAAACUUUUCACUUUUUCAUUGGCUCCAAGUUGUUUCAAUUCAACAAACAUUUAUUAAACAUUAAUUAUGUGCAAGGACCAUGUUAAGGUUGAAAACUAAGCAAAAGAGAAGUCUUCUUCUUAAGGUGCUUUCAUCCAUUGAGAGGGAAGAAAAGAUUCAAAUAAUAAAGAAAAAAAGUUUAACAGAAAAAAGUUCAAAGGAGAAAUGUAGGCAUAAUUCUGUAGUAAAGUUUGUAGAGUAGCCAGUAAGAGAAGAGUGGAAUGAAGAGAAUUAAGAAAUAUAGUGUCAUGGAAGCCAAAGACGUAGAAAGUAUCAAGGAGCGUAGUUGAUGAUGACAAAUACUAAAGAGAUCAAAGAGCAUGAAAAUCAAGAGGAAUCUAUUGGUAACUGCUUCAGCAGAGCAGCAGCAGUUAGAUUAUAAGUGUACAAGGAAUCAAUGUGCACCAAACAAAUCUAUAAUGGGAAUAAGAAUUGAGAAGCUACCUGUGGGUAAACAUCCACAUGAAUCCAGUGAUUAGUGAUCAAUGUAGAUUAUGAAAAACAGUGGUAAAAACUCUGCAACAUAUUACUGCAGGCUGCAAAAUUAAGCAGUACAUAACUUUUUAGUUAGAAUUCUCUCUGAAAUCUGAUAUCAUUUAUGGACAAGGAGAUGGAAAAUCCCCAUAAUGAAAAUAUAGACUUCAAAAAUUCCUAGAAAAGGGGAAGCUGGGUGGCUCAGUGGAUUGAGAUCCAAGCCUAGAGAUGGGAAGUCCUGGGUUCAAAUCUGACCUCAGACACUUCUUAGCUGUGUGACCCUGGGCAAGUCACUUAACUCCUAUUGCCUAGCCCUUACCACUCUUCUCUUCUGCCUUAGAACCAAUACCCAGUAUUGAUUCUAAGACAGAAGCUAAGGGUUAAAAAAAAAAGUCCUGGAAAACUCAGACAAUAAAUUGUCCUGGAACUAAAACAUUACACCCGGACUAUAUUGUUCAUAAUUACUUGGACAUAGCAUUGAUUCAAAAAGCUUUCAAAAUAGAGACAUAGCCAAAGAAAUCAAAAUCACCCAGAACAGAAUGAAGUAUAUAUAAUUUUCAUUGUCCUGUCCACUAUUAGAGUUAUACUGAAGAUACUUUAAUGAGCUCAUAGAGAAUGGGCUUACAUCCUAAUAAUUUUUAAUUGUGAACUUUAAAAAUUACUUUACCCUAC